UAACCUGCCUCAUACGAGGGGAUAACAGUUAGAAAUGACUGCUAAUACCGCAUAAGACCACAGUACCGCAUGGUACAGUGGUAAAAACUCCGGUGGUAUGAGAUGGACCCGCGUCUGAUUAGGUAGUUUGGUGGGGUAAACGGCCUACCAAGCCGACGAUCAGUAGCCGACCUGAGAGGGUGACCGGCCACAUUGGGACUGAGACACGGCCCAGACUCCUACGGGAGGCAGCAGUGGGGAAUAUUGCACAAUGGAGGAAACUCUGAUGCAGCGACGCCGCGUGAGUGAAGAAGUAAUUCGUUAUGUAAAGCUCUAUCAGCAGGGAAGACAGUGACGGUACCUGACUAAGAAGCUCCGGCUAAAUACGUG
rnacentral:rRNA from 1 species